rnacentral:rRNA from 1 species
UACGUAGGGGGCAAGCGUUAUCCGGAUUUACUGGGUGUAAAGGGAGCGUAGGCGGCAGUGCAAGUCAGAAGUGAAAGCCCGCGGCUCAACCGCGGGACUGCUUUUGAAACUGCAUAGCUAGAUUCCGGGAGAGGUAAGCGGAAUUCCUAGUGUAGCGGUGAAAUGCGUAGAUAUUAGGAGGAACACCAGUGGCGAAGGCGGCUUACUGGACCGGAAAUGACGCUGAGGCUCGAAAGCGUGGGGAG